UUUCAUUUUUCUUUCCCUCCAUUUCCCUGUUUUUUUUCAAUGUUGUUGAGAAGUGAAAAAAUAUGUGCUACAGCCUAACAAAUAGGGAUUUUUUUAAUUAUUUUUUUAUAGGCCACUGCCAAUUCCUCGAGGAUCGCAAGAUGCGGCAUCUCGGUGUAAUUCCUUACACGUGUAAGCGCUGUUGCCGUGGGACUCGGGGGGCCAAGCAGAGCAGUUGGACAUGAAGCCUGUCACAAAUCAAAUUUAGAAAAGUGAAUUACUGUGCCCAAGACGUGACCAACAGUAGUGCGCCGGAUCAGGUCCAAUUACGGCGAAUGAGGUCGCCGCAGGAGGCCCCGCCUAAUAGGUUCGGGCUGGAGGCUCCCGCCGGCACCCGAGGGAGCAGCAGACUGGAAAGGCCACCGGACGGGAGGCCGACGACGAUGGCGGCGGCGCUAACAAGCCGCCACACCUCCGCCUGACUUUCUCAGCUCAUUAAGGUCGCUUCACGAGCGGCUCUGGCGGGGUAGGCCGGCAGGACUUUUAAAAGCGGAGCCGGUUGAGACUCACCUGAAAAAGACUUGAAAUGGUCCUGAAAACCAGAUGACGACGGAUACACGGAUGGUUUCCGACGCCUUCAAGGUCUGUUAAAUAAAAGGCAACAGCGCGUACAUCAGGUGAAAGACUUUUUUUUUUUUUUACCUCCUGAUUUAUUCCGCUUGUAAAUGGCCUCACCGUUAGUGGGCCAGUCAAAUGUUAUACAGUAGAAGCCACUUAAUGUGGCUUAGGCCGCAGCUUUACAAGUGUGGAAAAGCUCCUGGCGCGUGCACACACACACACCGCCGUGAAUGUCAUUAUGGCCAUAACUUGCCUGGUUUUACUGCUGGUAGACUGGUGGUCUAUACACACACACACACACACACACACACACGUAUGGCUUCCUAUAUUGUCAGUGGCCGAGGUGCAAGCAGGCGUUCAGAUUUGAGGUCUGGCAAGCUUCGGCUUGAGGUUUUUCGCCUCAACGUUCACAUCAUUGUUGGCUCAGGGCAGGAUGUCAGCACGCUCAGCAGUUUGCACACAGCCAGCUGCCACUGAACAUGUCACAAGGGCCACGUUGAAAAAAAGACAAACCGCAGCAAAAUAAAUAAAUAAAUAAAUGAAUUAAAGAAUUGUGUUGCGAUGAGAAGCUUCACGCCACUAAUGGAGUCAAACUUUCAAAAACUUACAAAAAGCCGACGUGAACGCUCAAAUCUAUCAAAUCAGUUUGUUCCCACCAAACUGAAAGCCAAACAUUUAUUUUAGAUUGUUGUUGUUUUUUUAACCAUUUUAUUAGUAUCACAAGAGGGCAGUAUUUUUAAACAUAUAUUUUUUCUUAUUAAAUCAUCAGUAUCACAAGAGGGCAGUAUUUUUUAAACGUAACAAAUAGGACAGGCAUAUGCUUGGACGACUCAUUUGACAGGUGGAAGACCUUCUCGGGUACAAGAUUGAUGUCCAAUGUGAUGUAAGUUGUGCAUUUUUACUUCUCUGUUAAUUGUGUUUUACUACUUAACUGUGUCUGAAUAUGUCAUGUAUAUUAGUCGAAUAUUGGUUUUAUACUAUUUUGUUAUUUUUCCUGCUUU